GUUAAGCGUAUUACCUCAUUUAAAACAUCUAUUUUAUAACAUUAGAUAGAUUUAUAAGGAAAUUAAUAUGUUAUGUGCUCCUACACUUUACUCAGAGAGAUAUUUUCUUUCACUCGAAGCGGAGGUUUAGGGGAAGUUGGUUUUUAACAAGGAGAACACCGAAAACAGAGCCCUGCCUCAGCGCAUUGAGAUCAACUUGGAAUUCAGGAAUCACAACCUAUUUUCCAGUUUGUGAUCAUGUUUGAAAAGAGUCUCAAUAAGAUGACGAAAAGUAAGCAGUUGGACCUUCAUAUUCGCUACUGGGUGGAUGACCACGUCCAGUCACGAUACUUCGGCUCGCAGUUCAUGGGUCAUGCAACGUCCGUGGAC